CAGGUAGUUGGCGGGGUAACGGCCCACCAAGCCUACGAUCAGUAACUGGUGUGAGAGCACGACCAGUCACACGGGCACUGAGACACGGGCCCGACUCCUACGGGAGGCAGCAGUAAGGAAUAUUGGGCAAUGGACGCAAGUCUGACCCAGCCAUGCCGCGUGGAGGAUGAAGGUCCUCUGGAUUGUAAACUUCUUUUAUCUGGGAAGAAAUCCAUAUUUUCUAAUGUGGUUGACGGUACCAGAUGAAUAAGCACCGGCUAACUCCGUGCCAGCAGCCGCGGUAAUACGGAGGGUGCAAGCGUUAUCCGGAUUCACUGGGUUUAAAGGGUGCGUAGGUGGGCAGGGAAGUCAGUGGUG
rnacentral:rRNA from 1 species